rnacentral:lncRNA from 1 species
CCACCUCAUUCUUCAGCCUCACGUCAUUAAACUUGCAUUCCAAAUACUCUAUCUUGCUCCUACUCAACCUGAACCCUUUAGACUCAAGAGUUUGUCUCCACACCUCUAAUUUAUCAUUCACACACACCCGCGUCUCAUCAAUCAAAACUACAUCAUCUGCAAAAAGCAUAGUCCAAGGCACCUCUCCUUGAAUACGCCGCGUCAACACAUCCAUCACCAA